AGAACUUAGCAGAGAUGCUUUGGUGCCUUCGGGAACUCUGAGACAGGUGCUGUAUGGCUGUCGUCAGCUCGUGUUGUGAAAUGUUGGGUUAAGUCCCGCAACGAGCGCAACCCUUAUCCUUUGUUGCCAGCGAUUCGGUCGGGAACUCAAAGGAGACUGCCAGUGAUAAACUGGAGGAAGGUGGGGAUGACGUCAAGUCAUCAUGGCCCUUACGAGUAGGGCUACACACGUGCUACAAUGGCGCAUACAAAGAGAAGCGACCUCGCGAGAGCAAGCGGACCUCAUAAAGUGCGUCGUAGUCCGGAUUGGAGUCUGCAACUCGACUCCAUGAAGUCGGAAUCGCUAGUAAUCGUAGAUCAGAAUGCUACGGUCGAAUACGUUCCCGGGCCUUGUACACACCGCCCGUCACACCAUGGGAGUGGGUUGCAAAAGAAGUAGGUAGCUUAACUUUCGGGAGGGCGCUUACCACUUUGUGAUUCAUGACUGGGGUGAAGUCGUAACAAGGUAAGCGUAGUGCU
rnacentral:rRNA from 1 species